rnacentral:rRNA from 1 species
UACGGAGGGUGCAAGCGUUAAUCGGAAUUACUGGGCGUAAAGCGCACGCAGGUGGCUGAGUCAGUCGAUUGUGAAAGCCCUGGGCUUAACCUGGGAAUUGCAGUCGAUACUACUCAGCUAGAGUAUGGGAGAGGGCAGUGGAAUUCCCGGUGUAGCGGUGAAAUGCGUAGAGAUCGGGAGGAACAUCAGUUGCGAAGGCGGCUCUCUGGACCAGCACUGACACUGAGGCACGAAAGCGUGGGGAGCGAACAAGG